AACGAACGCUGGCGGCAUGCCUAACACAUGCAAGUCGAACGAGACCUUCGUGUCUAGGGGCGCAGGGGGGCGUAAGGCGUGGUAACCCGCCCUUAGGUUCGGAAUAACUCCCCGAAAGGGGUGCUAAUACCGGAUAAUGUCUUCGGAUCUAAGAUUUAUCGCUUGUGGGUGGGGCCGCGUUGGGUUGGCUGGUUGGGAGGGUAAAACCCUACCAAGGCGUCGAUCCGUAGCUGGUUUGUGAGGAGGAUCAGCCACACUGGGACGGAGACCCGACCCCGACUCGUAGGAGAAGCGGGAGUGGGGAAUAUAUGGCAAUGAGCGAGAGGCUGAUACAGCACUGCCGCGUGAGUGGUGAAGGCGUUAGGGUCGUAAAGCAGUAUUAACCGGGAUGAUAGUGACAGUACCGGGAGAAUAAGCUCCGGCUAACUCCGUG
rnacentral:rRNA from 1 species